rnacentral:rRNA from 1 species
AUUGAACGCUGGCGGCAUGCCUAACACAUGCAAGUCGAACGGUAACGACGGAAGCUUGCUUCCGGGCGACGAGUGGCGGACGGGUGAGUAACACUUAGGAAUCUGCCCAGUAGUGGGGGACAACCAGGAGAAAUCCUGGCUAAUACCGCAUACGCACUACGGUGGAAAGUGGGGGACCUUCGGGCCUCACGCUAUUGGAUGAGCCUAAGUCGGAUUAGCUUGUUGGUGAGGUAAAGGCUCACCAAGGCGACGAUCCGUAGCUGGUCUGAGAGGACGAUCAGCCACACUGGGACUGAGACACGGCCCAGACUCCUACGGGAGGCAGCAGUGGGGAAUAUUGGACAAUGGGGGCAACCCUGAUCCAGCAAUGCCGCGUGUGUGAAGAAGGCCUGCGGGUUGUAAAGCACUUUCAGUAGAGAAGAAAAGCCUAGGGUUAAUACCCCUGAGUCUUGACGUAACCUACAGAAGAAGCACCGGCUAACUCCGUG